rnacentral:rRNA from 1 species
CAUAGCGCUAAGAGGCGAACUCGGGGAACUGAAACAUCUAAGUACCCGAAGGAAAAGAAAUCAAUUGAGAUUCCGGCAGUAGCGGCGAGCGACCCCGGACCAGCCCUUAAGCGGCUUAGGCGUUAGGUGAACAGGUUGGAAAACCUGGCAAUAAAGGGUGAUAGCCCCGUAACCGACGGCGCCUUAGACGUUAAAACGAGUAAGACGGGACACGUGAUAUCUUGUCUGAAUAGGGGGGGACCAUCCUCCAAGGCUAAAUACUCCUGACUGACCGAUAGUGAACCAGUACCGUGAGGGAAAGGCGAAAAGAACCCCUGUUACCGCCGUGAAAG